rnacentral:rRNA from 1 species
GAGUUGUGGUGUCUGGCAAGGUUAAGCAAACGCGAAGCCGUAGCGAAAGCGAGUCUGAAUAGGGCGCUUAGUCAGAUGCUGCAGACCCGAAACGAAGUGAUCUAUCCAUGAGCAAGUUGAAGCUAGUGUAAGAACUAGUGGAGGACUGAACCCAUAGGCGUUGAAAAGCCCCGGGAUGACUUGUGGAUAGGGGUGAAAGGCCAAUCAAACUUCGUGAUAGCUGGUUCUCUCCGAAAUAUAUUUAGGUAUAGCGUUGUGUCGUAAUAUAAGGGGGUAGAGCACUGAAUGGGCUAGGGCAUACACCAAUGUACCAAACCCUAUCAAACUCCGAAUACCUUAUAUGUAAUCACAGCAGUCAGGCGGCGAGUGAUAAAAUCCGUCGUCAAGAGGGAAACAACCCAGACUACCAGCUAAGGUCCCUAAAUCUUACUUAAGUGGAAAACGAUGUGAAGUUACUUAAACAACCAGGAGGUUGGCUUAGAAGCAGCCAUCCUUUAAAGAAAGCGUAAUAGCUCACUGGUCUAGUGAUUUUGCGCGGAAAAUAUAACGGGGCUAAAGUAAGUACCGAAGCUGUAGACUUAGUUUACUAAGUGGUAGGAGAGCGUUCUAUUUGCGUCGAAGGUAUACCGGUAAGGAGUGCUGGAGCGAAUAGAAGUGAGCAUGCAGGCAUGAGUAGCGAUAAUUAAUGUGAGAAUCAUUAACGCCGUAAACCCAAGGUUUCCUACGCGAUGCUCGUCAUCGUAGGGUUAGUCGGGUCCUAAGUCGAGUCCGAAAGGGGUAGACGAUGGCAAAUUGGUUAAUAUUCCAAUACCAACAUUAGUGUGCGAUGGAAGGACGCUUAGGGCUAAGGGGGCUAGCGGAUGGAAGUGCUAGUCUAAGGUCGUAGGAGGUUAUACAGGCAAAUCCGUAUAACAAUACUCCGAGAACUGAAAGGCUUUUUGAAGUCUUCGGAUGGAUAGAAGAACCCCUGAUGCCGUCGAGCCAAGAAAAGUUUCUAAGUUUAGCUAAUGUUGCCCGUACCGUAAACCGACACAGGUGGGUGGGAUGAGUAUUCUAAGGCGCGUGGAAGAACUCUCUUUAAGGAACUCUGCAAAAUAGCACCGUAUCUUCGGUAUAAGGUGUGGUUAGCUUUGUAUUAGGAUUUACUCCGAAAGCAAGGAAACUUACAACAAAGAGUCCCUCCCGACUGUUUACCAAAAACACAGCACUCUGCUAACUCGUAAGAGGAUGUAUAGGGUGUGACGCCUGCCCGGUGCUCGAAGGUUAAUUGAUGGGGUUAGCAUUAGCGAAGCUCUUGAUCGAAGCCCGAGUAAACGGCGGCCGUAACUAUAACGGUCCUAAGGUAGCGAAAUUCCUUGUCGGUUAAAUACCGACCUGCAUGAAUGGCGUAACGAGAUGGGAGCUGUCUCAAAGAGGGAUCCAGUGAAAUUGUAGUGGAGGUGAAAAUUCCUCCUACCCGCGGCAAGACGGAAAGACCCCGUGGACCUUUACUACAGCUUGACACUGCUACUUGGAUAAGAAUGUGCAGGAUAGGUGGGAGGCUUUGAGUAUAUGACGCCAGUUGUAUAUGAGCCAUUGUUGAGAUACCACUCUUUCUUAUUUGGGUAGCUAACCAGCUUGAGUUAUCCUCAAGUGGGACAAUGUCUGGUGGGUAGUUUGACUGGGGCGGUCGCCUCCCAAAUAAUAACGGAGGCUUACAAAGGUUGGCUCAGAACGGUUGGAAAUCGUUCGUAGAGUAUAAAGGUAUAAGCCAGCUUAACUGCAAGACAUACAAGUCAAGCAGAGACGAAAGUCGGUCUUAGUGAUCCGGUGGUUCUGUGUGGAAGGGCCAUCGCUCAAAGGAUAAAAGGUACCCCGGGGAUAACAGGCUGAUCUCCCCCAAGAGCUCACAUCGACGGGGAGGUUUGGCACCUCGAUGUCGGCUCAUCGCAUCCUGGGGCUGGAGCAGGUCCCAAGGGUAUGGCUGUUCGCCAUUUAAAGCGGUACGCGAGCUGGGUUCAGAACGUCGUGAGACAGUUCGGUCCCUAUCUGCCGUGGGCGUAAGAAGAUUGAAGAGAUUUGACCCUAGUACGAGAGGACCGGGUUGAACAAACCACUGGUGUAGCUGUUGUUCUGCCAAGAGCAUCGCAGCGUAGCUAAGUUUGGAAAGGAUAAACGCUGAAAGCAUCUAAGCGUGAAGCCAACUCUAAGAUGAAUCUUCUCUAAGCUCUCUAGAAGACUACUAGUUUGAUAGGCUGGGUGUGUAAUGGAUGAAAGUCCUUUAGCUGACCAGUACUAAUAGAGCGUUUGGCUUAUCUUU